AGCUGUGCCAAUCUGAAGCCAGGAGCUUCUUCCAGGUCUCCCAUGCAGGUGCAGAGGCCCAAGGACCUGGGCCAUCGGCGCAGUGCACCGGCUGUGGCAGCCAUUUCGGGGGUGAACCAACGGAAGGAAGACCUCUCUCUCUCUCCCCCUAAGUCUGCCUGUCAAAAAAAUAAUAAUAAUAAUAAAAAGGGAAAUAAAGCCAGUGUCCUGCCUCUGAGUUCAGUGUGUGUGAAGCUGUGGCUUUGUAGGCACUGCAGAUGGCUUCAAGUGCAGAGGAGCCAUGACCAGAUUUGGUAUUUUGGAAUGUCACAAGUGGACAUGUCACAAGUAGAUCUGUCCUGUUGUUUCAUUUAUACUCCUGGUCUCUCACUUGUGUUGGUAGCGUGUGCCAGAGACCAGGAAUAUCUACUCUGUGGGGCAAUGAACAUCCAGUAUUGUCGUAGGACAAUGGUAUCCUGGGUGUCGUAAAAGGUGCAUCUGUCAUCACUCUGACAAAACAGGAGCCGCUGAUAUCUGAUUCGUGGCUCAUCAAACUUAUGGCUGCAACUAACUUCCCAAACUGAUGUGGCUCUAGCAAAUAACAAGUUUUAAACUCAUCAAUAAACAUUAUUUUUCAUUGUAAAUUGAGAAUAGCAUUGUGGUUUUAUUUUUAAGUGAGCAUUUAAGUGAAUUUCCAAUCUUUUAUCUUUAUUAUUUGAUUCAAGCCUGUAAUUCCUUAUCCACUACUCAGAAAUCCAAAAAGGAAGUUGUUUUUCUUCAUUUGGCAGCAAAACUUGCCAUGAACAGACGCGAGGCUAUUUAUAGUCUCUAUUCUACUCAAUGAGAAUACUCAUAAGUUUUGCUGCAGAAAUGUAAUGUGCUUGAUCACAAAGUAGAUUCUAUCUGAAUCUACCAAGAUAUGACUUUUGACCUUUCUCUGCACCCAUUGAGCUAAUUAUGGUGUUUGUCCUUUAUUAUAUUUCAUGGUGAAUUAUACUGACUUCUUCAUGUUAAACCCGAUUUGAUUAUAGUGUAUUACUUUAAAAUGUAUUUCUGGAUUUAAUUUUCUUAUAUUUUGUUUAGAAUUUUCACAUAUAUUUCUAUAAGAGUUAGCCUGAAAUUUACUUUUGUAAUGUCCUUGUCAGGUUUUGAAAUAAAAGUUACUUGGCCUAUGUGGCUGGUAUUGUGGUAUAACAGGUGAAGCUGCCGGCUGCAGUGCCAGCAUCCCAUAUGGGCGCCGGUUCAAGUCCCAACUGCUCCACUUCCGAUCCAGCUCUCCGCAAUGGCCUGGGAAAGCAGUAGAAGAUGUGGCUUUGGAUCGGCACAGCUCCAGCUGGUGCGGCCAGUUGGGAAGUGAACCAGCAGAUGGAAGAUCUCUUUCUCUCUGCCUCUCUUCUUUCUGUGUAACUCUUUCAAAUAAAUAAAUAAAUCUUUGAAAAAAAAAGUUACUUGGCCUCAUGAAAUAGGUGUGGAAGAUAUUCACUAUUUAUUUAUUUCCUGAAUAGUCUGUGUAAGACUGGUAUUGCUUCUUUCAUAAAUGUUUGAUAAAAACUAUAAGACUGGAGUUUUCUUUGUGGGAUCCCUUUUUUAAAAAAAAAAUAUGAAAUUAUCCAUGUUUUUCUGUUCUUAAACAAAUUCUGGUAUAUUAUAGUUUUCCUGGAAUUUUUCCAUUUCAUCUCAAAUUUUAUUUACUGGCAUAGGACUAUUUAUACUAUUCUUUUAUUAUCUGUCCAUUAUCCACAGGCUUCAAAGAGUUGCUUCUUUGCAUUCAAAUGUUGCCUAUUUGCAUCUUCUCUUUUUGUCUGGAUCAGUUGUGAAAGUCGUUUGUCGGUCUUGUUAGAGAACCAAAUCUGGGCUCCUUUGUUCCUCUCUUUAUGCUUGCUUCUUAUUUCAUUAAUCUCUUCAUUUAUUCUUUUUCUCGCAUACACUUUCUUUGAGUUUAUUUUGCUGUUCUCUUUUUAAUUUCUUAAAAUGGAUGCUUAGUUCAUUAAUUUCUCAGCCAUCCUUCUUUUCUAAUAAUUCACUCAAGACUAAUAAAUUUCCCUUUAAGAAGCUUCACCCUGCAUUUUUGAAGUGUGCUAUUUUAUUGUCAUUCAAUUUCAAAUAGUUUUAAAUUUCAUUGUGGUUUAUUUUUGGACAUAAAUUAUUUGGAAAUGUAUGUCUUCACUUCCAAACAUGUGGAUUUCCCAGUUUUUGUUACUGUAGUUACAGCACAAUUGCACUGAGGACAGAGAGCAGGUUCUGUAUAAUUUUAAUCUUUUGAACCUCGUUUCAUGGCCCUUCAUUCUUGAAGUACAUUUUUGCUAGGUCAAAAGUUUGUUCCUUUUUGAAAAAGAUUUACAUACUUAAAAGGCAGAAUUAGAGGGAGGGAAGGAGGGAGGGUAGGAGGGAGAGAGAGGAUAUCUUCUGUCUACUGGUUCACUCCCCAAAUGGCUGCAACAGCUGGGAUUGGGCCAGGUUGAAGCCAGGAGCCUGGAACCUCACCUGGGGCUCCCACAUGGGUGGCAGGGUCCCAGGCAAUUGGGUCAUCCUCCACUGGUUUCCCAGGCACAUUAGCCAGAAGGUGGAUCAAAAAGUAGAGCAGCCAGGACUGGAACCAGCGUCCAUAUGGGACGCUGGCACUGCAGGCAGCAGCUUUACCCACAAUGCUGCAACUGCUAGCCUCUAUAGCAGUAUUAAUCAGCUUGCAAUGGGAAAGCCCUCAGGACCUAAAUAUCUCCCAUUAGGUUAGACUGCCCACCCUGUUGCCAUAGAGAUUGUUUCCAACACACAGAAUUUGGAGGGGACAGAAACAUUCAAAGCACACCAGCAUAUAAAUUUCCUCCUGUGGGACAUCUUCUGCCUUGAGAACAGGAAGGCCAGUUCUGUAAUAAAGAAGCCUGGAUCUGUUAACUCACAGUGGCCAAAAUAUGGAAUCAGCCAAGGUGAACAUCAACAGAUGAAUGGAUCAGGAAAUUGUGAGCUGAAGUUACACAAGUAGCAUGACGUGGUGGUGCAGUGUAUGUAUCAGCGUGGCCAGGCCAAGGAAUCCAGGUAUUCGGUCAAACAUCUGUCUGGAUAUUGCUGUGAAGCACACCGUAUUCCUCCUCCCCAAGGGAUACAGCAAUAGUUGCCAUCUUGGAACCAAAAAAGGAGCAGAGUAACAUUACCCUGACCUUGGACUUCUUGCCUCCAGAACCAUGAGA